GGCGGUGUAGCUCAGUCGGUUAGAGCAUGCGGCUCAUAUCCGCAGUGUCCGGGGUUC
rnacentral:tRNA from 1 species